UACAGAGGUCUCAAGCGUUGUUCGGAUUCAUUGGGCGUAAAGGGCGCGUAGGCGGCGCGGUAAGUCGGGUGUGAAAUCUUGGAGCUUAACUCCGAAACUGCAUUCGAUACUGCUGUGCUUGAGGACUGGAGAGGAGACUGGAAUUUACGGUGUAGCGGUGAAAUGCGUAGAUAUCGUGAGGAAGACCAGUGGCGAAGGCGGGUCUCUGGACGGUACCUGACGCUGAGGCACGAAGGCCAGGGGAGCAAACGGG
rnacentral:rRNA from 1 species